CAGGGAUUGCCUUAGUAACGGCGAGUGAAGCGGCAACAGCUCAAAUUUGAAAUCUGGCCCUCGGGUCCGAAUUGUAAUUUGUAGAGGAUGAUUUUGGUGCGGUAUCUUCCGAGUUCCUUGGAACAGGACGCCUUAGAGGGUGAGAGCCCCGUACGGUUGAAUGCCUAGCCUCUGUAAAUCUCCUUCGACGAGUCGAGUAGUUUGGGAAUGCUGCUCUAAAUGGGAGGUAAAUUUCUUCUAAAGCUAAAUAUUGGCCAGAGACCGAUAGCGCACAAGUAGAGUGAUCGAAAGAUGAAAAGCACUUUGAAAAGAGGGUUAAAUAGCACGUGAAAUUGUUGAAAGGGAAGGAUUUGUGACCAGACUUUUUCUGGGCGGAUCAUCCGGGGUUCUCUCCGGUGCACUUUGCCCAGUAAAGGCCAGCAUCGAUUUUCGGCGGCGGAUAAAAGCAGUGGGAAUGUGGCUCCUUACGGGGAGUGUUAUAGCCCAUUGUAUAAUACGCUGCUGGGGAUCGAGGUACGCGCUUCUGCAAGGAUGCUGGCGUAAUGGUUAUCAAUCACCCGUCUUGAAACACGGACCAAGGAGUCGAACAUUUAUGCGAGUGUUUGGGUGUUAAACCCUCACGCGUAAUGAAAGUGAACGGAGGUGAGAGCCUGUAUGGGUGCAUCAUCGACCGAUCCUGAAGUUUUCGGAUGGAUUUGAGUAAGAGCAUAACUGUUCGGACCCGAAAGAUGGUGAACUAUGCGUGGAUAGGGUGAAGCCAGAGGAAACUCUGGUGGAGGCUCGCAGCGGUUCUGACGUGCAAAUCGAUCGUCAAAUCUGCGCAUGGGGGCGAAAGACUAAUCGAACCAUCUAGUAGCUGGU
rnacentral:rRNA from 1 species